UAGAAAAUUCUAUUUGAAACUAUUUCUAUAAAUUUUAAAAAAUUAAGUAUUUAUGUAUAUAUAUUUAUUAUAAUCUUAAACUCCACAUUCCAAAACUAUAUCCCACCCCUUCAACUCUAAACUAUAAAUCUAGAUCAUUAAUUAAAUCUAAGGUUAUAAGUGUCUUUUAGCUCUUAAAAUGAGGAUAAAACUGAUUAAAGUAAACAUGAAAAUUGGUAUUAUAAAUGUGGUAUUUUAUGCAAUUUUAUUAAAAUUAUAUCAAAUUUAUUAAAUAUAAAUUAGAAUAAUUUGUAAUA
rnacentral:lncRNA from 1 species